rnacentral:rRNA from 1 species
CCUACGGGGGGCAGCAGUGAGGAAUAUUGGUCAAUGGACGAGAGUCUGAACCAGCCAAGUAGCGUGAAGGAUGACUGCCCUAUGGGUUGUAAACUUCUUUUAUAUGGGAAUAAAACAGGGUAUGCAUACCCUCUUUUAUGUACCAUAUGAAUAAGGAUCGGCUAACUCCGUGCCAGCAGCCGCGGUAAUACGGAGGAUCCGAGCGUUAUCCGGAUUUAUUGGGUUUAAAGGGAGCGUAGGUGGAUUGUUAAGUCAGUUGUGAAAGUUUGCGGCUCAACCGUAAAAUUGCAGUUGAAACUGGCAGUCUUGAGUACAGUAGAGGUGGGCGGAAUUCGUGGUGUAGCGGUGAAAUGCUUAGAUAUCACGAAGAACUCCGAUUGCGAAGGCAGCUCACUGGACUGCAACUGACACUGAUGCUCGAAAGUGUGGGUAUCAAACAGGAUUAGAUACCCCAGUAGUC